rnacentral:rRNA from 1 species
AUUGAACGCUGGCGGCAUGCCUUACACAUGCAAGUCGAACGGCAUCGCGGGAAAGCUUGCUUUCCUGGCGGCGAGUGGCGAACGGGUGAGUAACACAUCGGAACGUACCGGCUAGUGGGGGAUAACCCGUCGAAAGACGGGCUAAUACCGCAUACGCUCUUCGGAGGAAAGCAGGGGACCUUUGGGCCUUGCGCUAGCCGAGCGGCCGAUGUCCGAUUAGCUAGUUGGUGGGGUAAAGGCCUACCAAGGCGACGAUCGGUAGCGGGUCUGAGAGGACGAUCCGCCACACUGGGACUGGGACACGGCCCAGACUCCUACGGGAGGCCGCAGUGGGGAAUCUUGGACAAUGGGGGCAACCCUGAUCCAGCAAUGCCGCGUGGGUGAAGAAGGCCUUCGGGGUGUAAAGCCCUUUUGGCAGGGAAGAAAUCGGCGGGGCGAAUAACCCUGCUGGAUGACGGUACCUGCAGAAGAAGCACCGGCUAACUACGUG